rnacentral:rRNA from 2 species
GAAAGUAAGAUCCCUGAAAGAUGAUCAGGUAGAUAGGUUUGGAGUGGAAGUGUAGCGAUACAUGGAGCGGACAAAUACUAAUCGAUCGAGGACUUAACCAAAA